GAACCGUUGUAUAAUCAACUGGAAACUGAAAGUAACUUUUCACCUACAUAGCCUAUAUAUCGCAUCCAGUCACACCCUGGCUUUAGUCUUCUUAUGUCAAUAAAGAGGUCAACAUGGGAGGUGAAUCAUCAAGACCAGCAGCACCACCAUCACCAGGAAGAGAGAUACCAUGAUUAAGGAACUGAAGCAAUUCAGUUUGAAUGAUCCUGAUAUGGGCCAGCUCAGGAUCCUGCUAAUUGGACCAAUUGGCACAGGAAAGUCCAGCUUUGUUAACUCAAUCAAAAGUGCUAUUUCUGGUCGUAUGGUGACUGCUGCGCUGGCAGAUGCUGACACAGGCACAAGCUUCACCAAGAUCGCAAGUAUUCCCGGGAAACACAUACAUCCUUACACAUUAUCUAUUGUUUAGUAAUUUAUGUUAAAUGAAAUGUUUUGAGGGAAGUGUCUUUUAUUCUUGUAGUAUCAAACACAUUACAUUAGAGAUGGAAAAGGACGCUUACCUUUUGCAUUCAAUGACGUCAUGGGUUUGGAGCCUGAUGAAUCAAGGGGGGCGCACCCUGCUGACAUCAUCAGCAUUCUUAGAGGACAUAUCCGAGAAGGUUAUCAGUUCAACCCCACUUGUCCCUUGACACAAGAAAAACCAGACUACAACAGCAGUCCUGAGUUAAGAGACAGAGUCCACUGUUUAGUGGGUGUCAUGUCUGCAAAUGCUGUAUCUGGAAUGUCAGCUGGAGUCAAACGCAAGCUGAGGACCAUAAGGGAGAAAGCUAGCAGUCUGGGUUGUUGGAAGUAUUACUAGGGAUGGGUGAACUAUGCCUUGGUGCUUUCUUUCGGAUUGUGCCUGGCAAAGUGCUGAAGUUCAAGCAUGUGGAAAGUCGAGCUCACAGGGACAUCUGGUGGUUAUCGAAACAUAUAGCAGCCAUUUAAACUCGAGUCUGAAGACGAGGCCUUUUAGUAGUCUACUGUACGACGGCCAGACAGGUAGUAAGAGGUAGACAGGAAAUGUAUGAUAGGGGAAGACACACAGGAAUGGCCGGAGCCAGAAUUGAACUUGACCCGCUGCGUUAGGGCUUCAACUGUACGUGCUGUACCGCCGUUUGGAGGUACAGUACCGGGGGAGCCACCGGGCGCUCCAAACCCACAUGUUUCCUCUUGAGACCCCCUCCACCCGUGUAUCACAGGUUGCAGUGAAGAAAUAAAGUUCUGUGACGACCUCCCAGAUAUUGGUGCAGAUGCUGAUGGGGUCCAACACAACUUGUACCACAAAGACGUCCGGUUAGCUUCACAGCCAACACCAAA